rnacentral:rRNA from 1 species
ACUACUAUACUAAAGGUUAUUAAUUAAAAAGUGGUGUACAGGUGAGUAUAAAGAUAUAAUUCGCCGGCCUUAAAGAGAAGGUAAAUCCUUCAUAAUAAAUAAAAGGGUACAGUUCCUGCUUUAAGAGGAUGAUAAAUAUCUUCGGGAUAGGUAGUAGUUAAGGUGAUGACUUAACUAGCCGACAACUCUCGUAGUCGAAUCUGAAAGGUUGAUCGACCACAUUGGGUCUGAAAAAACCCCAAUGCAAAUUAGUACAGCAGUGAGGAAUUUUGGUCAAUGGCCUAACGGCUGAACUGGCAACUUGGAGAAGUGGCAAGUCCUAUUUUGAUCAUAUCCUAAAAGAUGAUCUAUAGGAUUGUAUUAAAAUUGAAUAAAGCUUUGUUUAUAUAUUGAUAAUGACAGUAUAUAUAUCGUGUCUUGACUAAUUACGUGCCAGCAGUCGCGGAAAUACGUAAGAGACUAGUAUUAUUCAUCUUAAAUUGGGUUUAAAGGGUACCUAGACGGUCAAUAUAGCUUAUAUAAUGUUAGUACUUGACUAGAGUUUUAUAUGAGAGGGGAGUACUUGAGGAGGAGAGAUGAAAUUCUUUGAUACCAAAGGGACUCGGUAAAGGCGAAGGCACCCCUUUAGGUAAAAACUGACGUUGAGGGACGAAGGCACAGAGAACAAACAGGAUUAGAUACCCAAGUAGUCUUUGCAGUAAAUGAUGAAUGCCAUAGAUUAGAUGAAGAAUUUAAUAACUUAGUUCGUCAGUAAACAAUUAAUAUUAAAUCUUGUUUGGUCUAUAAAUGAAAGUGUAAGCAUUCCACCUCAAGAGUAAUGUGGCAACGCAGGAACUGAAAUCACUAGACCGUUUCUGACAACAGUAGUGCAGUAUGUUGUUUAAUUCGAUAAUACACGAAAAACCUUACCACAAUUUGUAUAAUAAUAUUACAGGAGUUGCACGGCUGUUUUCAGUUAAUGUUGUGAAACUAUGGUUUCCAUGUAAUUAACGAAAUCCCUGGCUUUAUUUUUGGAUGCGCUAGUCCCUCCGGGACCAGCAAGCUCUUUUUUUUUACUUAUUUUAGUUAUGAGGCGCAUGAAAGCGCUCUCAGAAUAAAAAAAGAGCUUGCGCCCUAAAAAAGAUUUUUAGGGCUCGCUACUACGAUAAGGCAUUAGAUCCUGGAUAUUUGGAUAGAAAAAGGGGACAAAGACAAGUCAUCAUGGCCUGCUGGAUGAUGUAGGAAAGUCAUCUGUGUGGGUAAAACUAUCAAACUCCGGGGACAUCCUAAAGAUUUUGAUACUAAACUAUAAUUGAAAAAUUAUAAGUGGCUGAAUUAAUUACUCAGAUAUAGUAAGAAGUCAAAAUAUGAACGAAAGUGAAAUGGAUUAUCGCGGAUCUAAAUCAGUAAUAUAUGAAAAUAUUGCUGUAAAAGAGCAACGAGUAGACGGUAGUUGAUACAUUAAAAAUAACUUAAUGUGUUUAAGGUGUACUCUAAUGGGUUUCGAGAGGAAUUAUCAAGUCAAAAUCCUUUCUAAACAAAUAAGUAAUAUAAGAAGAUAUACUUCUAUUACAACCCACAAGCCAUUAACUAUUACUAAACUUCAAUCUAGUUUAAAUCCAUGAUUUUUAACAGGGUUUUCGGAUGCUGAAGGAUCUUUCUCUAUUUUGAUUCAAACUAAUAGUAAAUAUGCUACAGGUUGAAGAAUUAAACCCGUAUUUACUAUAGGGUUACAUAAAAAAGACUUAGAUUUAUUGAAAAAUCUUCAAUCUUAUUUAGGAAUAGGUAAAAUUCAUAUUCAUGGUAAAGAUUCUAUACAAUUUCGUGUAGAUUCGUUGAAAGAUUUACAAAUUCUUAUAAAUCAUUUUGAGAAUUUUCCACUUGUAACCGCUAAACUUGCUGAUUAUAUUUUAUUUAAGAAAGCUUUUGAUAUAAUUCUUCUAAAAGAACAUUUAUCUCAACAAGGUUUGUUAAAAAUAGUAGGAAUCAAAGCAUCACUUAAUUUAGGACUUAAUAAAAAUAUAAAAGAAGCGUUUUCUAAUUGAGAAGAAUUACAAGUCAAUAGACCUAAUUAUACUUUUAAAUGUAUACCAGAUUCAAAUUGAAUGGCUGGAUUUGCUAGCGGAGAUAGUAGCUUUAAUAUAAAAAUAAGUAAAUCUUCUACUAGUACAUUAGGUCAAAGAGUUCAAUUAAGGUUCGCAAUUGAAUUAAAUAUUAGAGAAAAGGAUUUGAUACAACAUCUACCUACUUAUUUCAAGUUAACUAAUAUUUUAAAAAAUGUUUAUAUUAAUAAUCAGGUAGCAAGAUUUCAAAUAGUAAACUAUUCUGACAUUACGGAUAAAAUCCUUCCUUUUUUUGAAAAGUAUUUAAUACAAGGUAAAAAGAGUUUAGAUUUUAUAAGUUUUAAAGAGGUAGCCUUAAUUAUUAAAAAUAAAGAUCAUUUAAAAUUAGAAGGCUUUGAACAAAUCUUAGAUAUAAAAGAUAGAAUGAACAAGUAAUAGUAAAAAUUAAAGUAUAUUUAAUUUAUUUACUUAUUUGCACGAUAAAUUUGAUUGCUAUGUUAUAUUGUGGGCUAUAAACGUGCUACAUCUUCCUAGACAAAGAGAUGCAAAAAUGUGAAUUUAAGCUAAUCUCAAAAAAUAGGAUAAAAAUUUUAAGGAUUGUAGUCUGAAAUUCGACUACAUGAAUAAGUAAUUACUAGUAAUCGUGAAUCACCAUGUCACGGUGAAUUACUCUCGGAUUGGUACUAACCACUCGUCACAUGCUGAAAAGAGCUUAUGCAAUAAGUUUGCUUUCUUAGUAAUUAGUAAAAAAAACAUGUAGGUUUUGUGUAGAUAUGUUAUCUAUGAACAGCACCAAAGCUGUCUAUUAUUGGGAAUCUUCGUAU